rnacentral:rRNA from 1 species
UGCAAGUCGAGCGGUAACAUUUCUAGCUUGCUAGAAGAUGACGAGCGGCGGAUGGGUGAGUAACGCGUAGGAAUCUACCUAUUGGUGGGGGAUAGCCCAGGGAAACUUGGAUUAAUACCGCAUAAGCUCUUAGGAGGAAAGCGGGGGAUCUUCGGACCUCGUGCCAAUAGAUGAGCCUGCGUAAGAUUAGCUAGAUGGUGGGGUAAUGGCCUACCAUGGCGACGAUCUUUAGCUGGUCUGAGAGGAUGAUCAGCCACACUGGGACUGAGACACGGCCCAGACUCCUACGGGAGGCAGCAGUGGGGAAUAUUGCACAAUGGGCGCAAGCCUGAUGCAGCCAUGCCGCGUGUGUGAAGAAGGCCUUAGGGUUGUAAAGCACUUUCAGUGGGGAGGAAAGGUUAUAAGUUAAUACCUUAUAGCUGUGACGUUACCCACAGAAGAAGGACCGGCUAAUUCCGUGCCAGCAGCCGCGGUAAUACGGAAGGUCCGAGCGUUAAUCGGAAUUACUGGGCGUAAAGCGCACGUAGGCGGCUAGGUCAGUUGGGUGUGAAAGCCCCGGGCUCAACCUGGGAACUGCAUCCAAUACUGCCUGGCUAGAGUACGAGAGAGGGGGGUAGAAUUUCUAGUGUAGCGGUGAAAUGCGUAGAUAUUAGAAGGAAUACCAGUGGCGAAGGCGGCCCCCUGGCUCGAUACUGACGCUGA